AGCAGCCGCGGUAAUUCCAGCUCCAAUAGCGUAUAUUAAAGUUGUUGCAGUUAAAAAGCUCGUAGUUGAAUUUCGGGAUCAGUAGGUUGGUCGUGCCACCGGUAUGUACUGGCCUUGCUGGUUCCUCCUUCUUGAAGAACCGUGAUGCCAUUAAUUUGGUGUUGCGGGGAAACAGGACUGUUACUUUGAAAAAUUAGAGUGUUUAAAGCAGGCUAACGUUUGAAUACAUUAGCAUGGAAUAAUAGAAUAGGACGUUCGAUCCUAUUUGUUGGUUUCUAGGGUUGACGUAAUGAUUAAUAGGGAUAGUUGGGGGCAUUAGUAUUCAAUUGUCAGAGGUGAAAUUCUUGGAUUUAUUGAAGACUAACUACUGCGAAAGCAUUUGCCAAGGAUGUUUCAUUAAUCAAGAACGAAAGUUAGGGAUCGAAGACGAUCAG
rnacentral:rRNA from 1 species